rnacentral:rRNA from 1 species
AACGAACGCUGGCGGCAUGCCUAACACAUGCAAGUCGAACGAGACCUUCGGGUCUAGUGGCGCACGGGUGCGUAACGCGUGGGAACCUGCCCUUAGGUUCGGAAUAACUCCCCGAAAGGUGUGCUAAUACCGGAUAAUGUCUUCGGACCAAAGAUUUAUCGCCUUUGGAUGGGCCCGCGUUGGAUUAGCUAGUUGGUAGGGUAAAAGCCUACCAAGGCGACGAUCCAUAGCUGGUCUGAGAGGAUGAUCAGCCACACUGGGACUGAGACACGGACCAGACUAGUACGGGAGGCAGCAGAGGGGAAUAGUGGAAAAUGGGCGAAAGCAUGAACAAGCAAUGACGCGUGAGUGAGGAAGGCAGUAGGGAAGUAAAGCUCAUUUAAACGGGAUGAUAAUGACAGUAACGGGAGAAUAAGCAACGGCUAACUCCGUG